UACGUAGGGUGCGAGCGUUAAUCGGAAUUACUGGGCGUAAAGCGUGCGCAGGCGGUUUUGUAAGCCAGAUGUGAAAUCCCCGGGCUCAACCUGGGAAUGGCAUUUGGGACUGCAAGGCUCGAGUGCGGCAGAGGAGACUGGAAUUCCUGGUGUAGCAGUGAAAUGCGUAGAUAUCAGGAGGAACACCGGUGGUGUAGACGGCUCUCUGGACCGUAACUGACGCUGAGACACGAAAGCGUGGGUAGCAAACAGG
rnacentral:rRNA from 1 species